UCAGUGGUGUCAGCAGAAACAUUUAUCUUCUGGUUUUGAUUAUGUGACAAAGGACCAGUAAACCUGACAAAGUGUUGGUCUCUGGACAAUUUUUCAGUCAAUUUGCCUUCCGAUUUGGUUGCAGUUGAAUCAAGAAACUUUGAAGUUUCAGUAUGGUUUAGCAUCCAAUCCAUUUCUUCUUCUUUUGAUCUCGAGCCCAUGUUAGAAAAGGAUGACUAGAGAAACUUUGAAGUUUCAGUAUGGUUUAGCAUCCAAUCCAUUUCUUCUUCUUGUGAUCUCGAGGCCAUGUUAGAAGGUGUACCACUCGUAUUAGUGAACCUUUCUUUUGUAUGGAAGUUAA
rnacentral:lncRNA from 1 species